rnacentral:misc_RNA from 1 species
GAUGAAGAACGUAGUGAAAUGCGAUAAGUAAUGUGAAUUGCAGAAUUCAGUGAAUCAUCGAAUCUUUGAACGCACAUUGCGCCCGCCAGUAUUCUGGCGGGCAUGCCUGUUCGAGCGUCAUUUCAACCCUCAAGCCCAGCUUGGUGUUGGGGAUCGGCACAGGCGCCCUCGGGCGCCCGCCGUCCCCUAAAUCUAGUGGCGGUCCCGCUGCAGCCUCCUCUGCGUAGUAGUUUUCUCCUCGCAAGGGCAGCUCGGUGGCGACCUAGCCGUAAAACCCCCAACUUCUGAAAGGUUGACCUCGAAUCAGGUAGGAAUACCCGCUGAACUUAAGCAUAUCAAUAAGCGGAGGA